AAAAAUUAAAGUCACUAGUUGUUUCUUUUGCUUUGCAAGAAAGGUUAAUCAAUAUUUCUGCUUUAGUAUUUCUCAUUUGGUGCCUUUCAGGGCCUGGGUCUCCUACUGAGUACUACUUCUGCCAGCUUCCAUGAGUUGGAUUUGAAAGUUUGAUACAGGAAAUCUGACAGAAGAUAUAUUAGGAAAAGUGCUGAAGGCCUCUUAAGGAGACCAUAUGUUUGAAUGCAUUUUAAGAUCUAAAAUUUUAACAAAAAAAUAUUUUCAUAAUUUGUUAACAUUUUGAGCCAUGAAAGUGAAGAACUGAAAUAACUGUGACUUAUGAUGAAUGCUUCAAAUCUUCCUUCAUUUUUCCACAAGCCAUCCUCCUUCCAGAAUACAAAGAAGGAUUUUGACAACUAUAAUGACUGAAACACAGCCUUAUUUUCAUCAUAGUGGCCACUGAUUCUUUUGUGACUUUGAUUUAAUUUGAUACCCAUUUCUUAUUUCUUUUGAAAUAUAGUGCAAAGUCAUAUAGAUGUGGCAUAUUUAAUAAAAAUCUCCUGACAUAUGUAUAUCAUUAAACUAAAAUGUGGCACUUUGGCAUUUGUAAA